UGUAAGAAGUAAGAGGGCAAUGGACGAGUACACAUCGGAGAUAUUCAUGGGAGGGAAGAGCACAAUCGUUCUCCACAACACGUGUGAAGACUCCUUGUUGGCUGCUCCUAUCAUCUUGGACUUGGUCCUCCUGGCCGAGCUCAGUUCUCGGAUCCAACUCAAAGCAGAGGGAGAGGGCAAGUUCCACUCUUUCCACCCUGUGGCCACUAUUCUGAGCUACCUCAC